GAGAACCGAGGAAAAGAGGCUCGCUGGUAAAUAAGCCUGGCGACUGAUGGCUGAGGACGUCUCGCGAUAAUCGUGUGUAAGAUGGCGGCGGCGGCGGCCGCGGGGCGGCUCGGGGUGAGCCGGGAAAGACGCGGACGGAGACCGGCUCCCCUGACCGAGUCGAAGAACACCGGCUAGCAUGUAGUCUGUUCCUGCCGGGGACAGCUCUUAUGGCAGGCUCUCUGCUGCACUGAACUUGGGCUGUGCGCUCGCUCCUUCCUCCUCACACCGAGAACUGUUUUCUCGGGUUCCGUUUCCCUGACAUUGUCCCUUCGUGUCGAAUUGCUGGUGAUGGAGUGGGUAGGCCCGAAAUUGACCUCCUCACCUCCGGGUUACCUUCAGGGAUUUUUUCACCCGUUCUUUUUCUACCCUCUGCUAAACUUAUUUUGCUUCCUCGGAAAAGUUUAUCCCGGGCGCCCCGCCCCAUCAAUUUUCGAGACCAAAAUAGGAAGUAAAUCUCAGGCCCACGCACAAACAAGAAAGAAAGAAAGACAGACAGACAGACCUUAGGUGUUUAGCCGUGGGAUGCAAAUGGAAUCUCCCAGGAGUAGGAUUUGCUGAUCGCGGGCCUCUGCUGACAUCCUCUGAAUCAGGACUUCCAGGAGUGUCUCUGCUCUAUGGCAAUAAAGCGAGCCUAUGAAGCAGGAUUUACGGAACACUGGUCAACAAGGAGGAAUGAAGCACAAGGGAUGAACACGACAAUAAAACUGGGAAGAAUGUUUACCUCUAGAAGCCCCUGAGUAGUUUUCGUGAGGUGCAUUAAGUUCUGUCAAGUAAAACCAUAUAUGGCUAACCACAGUGUACAACUUAGAUGGCUCCACUUGCUACAUUAUUAACAAACUUGAUGUCACUAGUAUUUUUAACCGCAUCAGUUUCAAAUCAGGCCAGGUGUGAUGGCUCAUGCCUUUAGUCCCAGAACUUGGUAGGCAGAGAAAAGUAGAUCUCUUGCAAGGCCACCCUGGUCUACAUAGUGAAUUCCAGAACAUGUCUCUGAAAAUUCAUUAAUUUUAGAAAAUACUUUAUAAUCAGUAUCACUCCAUUUCAUUUUUAAGACAUGGUCUCACUCUGUCGCCCCGACAAGCCUGGAACUCACAGAGUUCCACCUUCUGCCUCCCAAGUGCUAGGAAUUAAAGUCCUGCAGUGCCACACUCAUCCAAGAUUGGGGUUUUCCCUUAUUUUUUUCAGAAACCAGUGUUUAGGAGCUGAAGAGAGAUCUCAGCAGUUAAGAGUAUUUGUGGAGAGUAUGGCUCUUAGACAGGACCAGGGUUCAACUAACAACUCUGGCUCCAGAGGAUCUAAUGCAUUCUAGCUUCUGCAGGCACUGCAUGCAUGAGGUGCACAGACAUGCAGGCAAAACAAUCAUAGGACGUUUUAAAAAAAAAAAAAAAAGAGUAAAUAAAAGUUUUAAAAUACUUACUUUGUAUUUAUUCUACGUUUCAGUCAACCAGAAAUGUUUAAUGAACUCAGAAAUCACGUAUAGCUUGCUGGUAAGUACAAUAUUGUACAGCAUAGACUUUGUCUCCUUAGUAUCGAAUGAAUGAGCACUCUAUGAGAGCCAGAGGAGUAAUAUUCUGGCUAUGUGAUUUAUAAAAGAGGGACCUUUGAAAUUGCUAACUCAAUGGCAGCGGGGGCUAGGUAAUAACAAAAGCUAGUCUUGUAUAAUAUAAAAACUAGUGCGUACUAGAACCCACUAGAAUCACAAAUUCUUAUCAGAAAGGACUCUCUUGAGUACCUUUGUUUUUGAGACAGGGUCUCACUAUGUAGUUCUGGCUGUCCUGGAACUCACUCUGUAGAUCAGGCUGGCCUUGAACUCAAAAAUCCACCUGCCUCUGUCUCUCAAGUGCUGGGACUAAAGGCAUGCACCACCCACACCUUCCUACUCCUGAAUUUUAAAACAGUAAUGUAUCUGUGAGGGCUUAAAUUCAAUCCCCAACACUGCAGUAAAAAUAAAGAGAGUGGGCUGGGUGUAGUGGCAGUGUCAGGAGAAUCACCACAAGGUCUGGGCUAGCCUGUCCCACACAAGAGUUGCAGUCCAUCCAGAGCUACACAGACCCUUCAAAAGAGAAAAUAUAGAUAUAUGUUGGCAGACAGACGACCCUGAAGAAGAGAACACUUUUCUCAUGCUACGAGAGAAUGGAACCCAAAGAGUCAUCUUCCCUAGUGAAGCCCUGCACCCCACUAUUGCAGAGGUUCUCAACCUGUGGGGUUCUGAGGCUUACAGGUCAUCAAAUGACCCUUUCUCCAGGUUACAGGUCAGAUAUCCUGCAUAUCAGAUGUCUACAGUUUAUAAUAGUAGCACCAUUACAGUUAUAACGUAGCAACAAAAUAAUGUCAUGGUUGGGGAUCAUACAACAUGAGGAACUAUAUUGAGGGGUUGCCCAGCGUUAGGAAGGCUGAUCUAUUACAUACUCAAACAUGAAUUGUUGUACAUUCUAUGUUCUGUUUUUUUCCUUUUUGUUAAACUUUUAUCAAUGAAGAAUCUAUUGCACUUAUUUGGGGAUGUAACAUAUAGACAAACAACUUGCAGAGGUCAGUUUUCUUUUUCCACUGUGUGGACCCCAAGGAUGGAACUCAAGUCACCAGGCUCAGAGGCAGACACCUGUACCCACUAAACCAUCUCGCCAACCUUUAGGCUUUUGCUUGUUUGUUUGUGGUUUUUGUUUUGAAACAGGGUCUCAAUGUGUAGCCCUGGUUGGUCUGGAAUUAUAUAAACCAGGCUAACCCAGAACUCAUAAAGAUACACCUG
rnacentral:lncRNA from 1 species